AGCGGCGGACGGGUGAGUAACACGUGGGCAACCUGCCUCCCCCAGGGGAAUAGCCUUCCGAAAGGAAGAUUAAUACCGCAUAACAUUGUUGAAAGGCAUCUUUUAACAAUCAAAGGAGCAAUCCGCUAUGAGAUGGGCCCGCGGCGCAUUAGCUAGUUGGUGAGGUAACGGCUCACCAAGGCGACGAUGCGUAGCCGACCUGAGAGGGUGAUCGGCCACAUUGGAACUGAGACACGGUCCAGACUCCUACGGGAGGCAGCAGUGGGGAAUAUUGCACAAUGGGGGAAACCCUGAUGCAGCAACGCCGCGUGAGUGAUGAAGGUCUUCGGAUUGUAAAACUCUGUCUUUAGGGACGAUAAUGACGGUACCUAAGGAGGAAGCUCCGGCUAAAUACGUGCCAGCAGCCGCGGUAAUACGUAUGGAGCAAGCGUUAUCCGGAUUUACUGGGUGUAAAGGGUGCGUAGGUGGCAGUGCAAGUCAGAUGUGAAAUCCAUGGGCUUAACCCAUGAACUGCAUUUGAAACUGUAUUUCUUGAGUACUGGAGAGGCAAUCGGAAUUCCUAGUGUAGCGGUGAAAUGCGUAGAUAUUAGGAGGAACACCAGUGGCGAAGGCGGAUUGCUGGACAGCAACUGACGGUGAGGCGCGAAAGUGUGGGGAGCAAACAGGAUUAGAUACCCUGGUAGUCCACACUGUAAACGAUGAAUACUAGGUGUGCGGGGACUGACCCCCUGCGUGCCGCAGUUAACACAAUAAGUAUUCCACCUGGGGAGUACGAUCGCAAGGUUGAAACUCAAAGGAAUUGACGGGGGCCCGCACAAGCGGUGGAUUAUGUGGUUUAAUUCGAAGCAACGCGAAGAACCUUACCAGGGCUUGACAUCCUCUGACCGCUCUAGAGAUAGAGUUUCCCUUCGGGGCAGAGAGACAGGUGGUGCAUGGUUGUCGUCAGCUCGUGUCGUGAGAUGUUUGGUUAAGUCCAAUAACGAGCGCAACCCCUAUGGUCAGUUGCCAUCAUUUAGUUGGGCACUCUGGCAAGACUGCCGCGGACAACGCGGAGGAAGGAGGGGACGACGUCAAAUCAUCAUGCUCCUUACGUUUCGGGCUACACACGUACUACAAUGGCGAGAACAAAGGGAAGCGAAGCCGCGAGGCGGAGCGAAACCCAUAAAAAUCGUCCCAGUUCAGACUGCAGGCUGCAACUCGCCUGCACGAAGUCGGAAUAGGUAGUAAUCGCGGAUCAGCAUGCCGCGGUGAAU
rnacentral:rRNA from 1 species